rnacentral:sRNA from 1 species
CCAGCUCAGCCCCCGACCUGAUGUGUCUCAGUCCUGACCGGAAGAUGGAAGUGGAGGAGCUCAGCCCCCUGGCCCUAGGUCGCUUCUCUCUGACCCCUGCAGAGGGGGAUACUGAGGAAGAUGAUGGAUUUGUGGACAUCCUAGAGAGUGACUUAAAGGAUGAUGAUGCAGUUCCCCCAGGCAUGGAGAGUCUCAUUAGUGCCCCACUGGUCAAGACCUUGGAAAAGGAAGAGGAAAAGGACCUCGUCAUGUACAGCAAGUGCCAGCGGCUCUUCCGCUCUCCGUCCAUGCCCUGCAGCGUGAUCCGGCCCAUCCUCAAGAGGCUGGAGCGGCCCCAGGACAGGGACACGCCCGUGCAGAAUAAGCGGAGGCGGAGCGUGACCCCUCCUGAGGAGCAGCAGGAGGCUGAGGAACCUAAAGCCCGCGUCCUCCGCUCAAAAUCACUGUGUCACGAUGAGAUCGAGAACCUCCUGGACAGUGACCACCGAGAGCUGAUUGGAGAUUACUCUAAGGUUGUUCCCUGGGUGUCAGACCCAAGAGGUGCCUCUCAGUUGCCAUGGGAACCAGAACUGAAUUUGAAGGCCAAAGCAGGCCUUCCUCCUACAGACAGUAGAUGGAAAGCACCAAGACCUCAAGUACAUCUCACCAGAAACGAUGGUGGCCCUGUUGACGGGCAAGUUCAGCAACAUCGUGGAUAAGUUUGUGAUUGUAGACUGCAGAUACCCCUAUGAAUAUGAAGGCGGGCACAUCAAGACUGCGGUGAACUUGCCCCUGGAACGCGACGCCGAGAGCUUCCUGCUGAAGAGC